rnacentral:rRNA from 1 species
CCUACGGUAGGCAGCAGUGAGGAAUAUUGGUCAAUGGGCGCGAGCCUGAACCAGCCAAGUCGCGUGAGGGAAGACGGUCCUAUGGAUUGUAAACCUCUUUUGUCGGGGAGCAAAAGACGCCACGCGUGGCGUUCCGAGAGUACCCGAAGAAAAAGCAUCGGCUAACUCCGUGCCAGCAGCCGCGGUAAUACGUAGGAUGCGAGCGUUAUCCGGAUUUAUUGGGUUUCAAGGGUGCGUAGGCGGUCGGAUAAGUUAGAGGUGAAAUCCCGAGGCUAAACUUCGGAAUUGCCUCUGAUACUGUUCGGCUAGAGAGUAUGUGCGGUAGGCGGAAUGUAUGGUGUAGCGGUGAAAUGCGUAGAGAUCAUACAGAACACCGAUUGCGAAGGCGACCUGCUAGAACAUAACUGACGCUGAUGCGCGAAAGCGUGGGGAGCAAACAGGAUUAGAUACCCCAGUAGUC